UGGGGAAUUUUGGACAAUGGGCGAAAGCCUGAUCCAGCAAUGCCGCGUGUGUGAAGAAGGCCUUCGGGUUGUAAAGCACUUUUGUCCGGAAAGAAAUCCUUGGCUCUAAUACAGUCGGGGGAUGACGGUACCGGAAGAAUAAGCACCGGCUAACUACGUGCCAGCAGCCGCGGUAAUACGUAGGGUGCAAGCGUUAAUCGGAAUUACUGGGCGUAAAGCGUGCGCAGGCGGUUUGCUAAGACCGAUGUGAAAUCCCCGGGCUCAACCUGGGAACUGCAUUGGUGACUGGCAGGCUAGAGUAUGGCAGAGGGGGGUAGAAUUCCACGUGUAGCAGUGAAAUGCGUAGAGAUGUGGAGGAAUACCGAUGGCGAAGGCAGCCCCCUGGGCCAAUACUGACGCUCAUGCACGAAAGCGUGGGGAGCAAACAGGAUUAGAUACCCUGGUAGUCCACGCCCUAAACGAUGUCAACUAGUUGUUGGGGAUUCAUUUCCUUAGUAACGUAGCUAACGCGUGAAGUUGACCGCCUGGGGAGUACGGUCGCAAGAUUAAAACUCAAAGGAAUUGACGGGGUCU
rnacentral:rRNA from 1 species